GGGGGUAUAGCUUAGUGAUAGAGCCCAUGCUUGGUGUGCAUAAGGUCCUGUAUUCAAUCCUCAGUGCCUCUG
rnacentral:tRNA from 1 species